AGAACGAACGCUGGCGGCGUGGAUAAGACAUGCAAGUCGAACGGGAUUACUUCUGUAGCAAUACAGAAGUAGUUUAGUGGCGAACGGGUGCGUAACACGUGGGCAAUCUGCCGAAAAGUGGGGGAUAGCUCGCCGAAAGGCGAAUUAAUACCGCAUGUGGUGAGGGGGGGACAUCUUCCUGAAUCCAAAGCCGGGGCAACCUGGCGCUUUUUGAGGAGCCCGCGGCCUAUCAGCUAGUUGGUGAGGUAACGGCUCACCAAGGCUUUGACGGGUAGCUGGUCUGAGACGGGACGACCCGAGUCCACACGUGGAACUGAGACACGGGUCCAAGACCACCGUACGGGUGGCAGCAGUCGAGUAAUUUUCACAAGUCGGGGAACCCUGAAGGAGCGACGUCCGCGUGGAGGAUCGGUAAGGCUUUUGGGGUAUAAACGUCC
rnacentral:rRNA from 1 species